UCUCCGGUCGUCUAGUGGUUAGAGCGUCUGCCUUGGAAGCUGGAGGUCGGGGGUUCGAUCCCCGGUAGAG